rnacentral:misc_RNA from 1 species
GUCAUUUAAACCUUCAAGCUCUGCUUGGUGUUGGGUGUUUGUUCCGCCCCCGUGCGUGGACUCGCCUUAAAUUCAUUGGCAGCCGGUAUGUUGUUGGCUUCGUGCGCAGCACAUUGCAAACGAUCCCAGCGUACCCCCUCCCAUUAAGCUCCCCUUUUUACUUUGACCUCGGAUCAGGUAGGGAUACCCGCUGAACUUAA